rnacentral:rRNA from 1 species
UAUUAACGCUGGCGGCGUGCCUAAUACAUGCAAGUCGAGCGAACGGACGAGAAGCUUGCUUCUCUGAUGUUAGCGGCGGACGGGUGAGUAACACGUGGAUAACCUACCUAUAAGACUGGGAUAACUUCGGGAAACCGUAGCUAAUACCGGAUAAUAUUUUGAACCGCAUGGUUCAAAAGUGAAAGACGGUCUUGCUGUCACUUAUAGAUGGAUCCGCGCUGCAUUAGCUAGUUGGUAAGGUAACGGCUUACCAAGGCAACGAUGCAUAGCCGACCUGAGAGGGUGAUCGGCCACACUGGAACUGAGACACGGUCCAGACUCCUACGGGAGGCAGCAGUAGGGAAUCUUCCGCAAUGGGCGAAAGCCUGACGGAGCAACGCCGCGUGAGUGAUGAAGGUCUUCGGAUCGUAAAACUCUGUUAUUAGGGAAGAACAUAUGUGUAAGUAACUGUGCACAUCUUGACGGUACCUAAUCAGAAAGCCACGGCUAACUACGUG